GCGCUUUAGCGGCGCUGCUGAAGGCACUGGAUGGCCAAACAACCGCGAACGCCGACAAGCCGAAGAGCCGAAGGGCCGAAAAGCCGAAGCGGACACCCGCGCGCGGUGAUUGGCCGGUUGGCCGGAAGAACUCUGUCUCUGAUUGGCAGGAGAGUCACGAACCGUUCUGUAGUCAGAAGUCCAACAUGGUUCUCAAUGGCCUAAAAUCAAGGUGUCCACAGGAUUGUGUUCCUUUCUAGAGAGCAAGCUGCAGUGUGGUAAACUGCCUUUGAAAGAGACCCACAUGUCAAGAAACUGAGCAUCACCUGUGACCAACAGCCAGAAAGUAACUGAAGCCCCAAGACGAACAGCUUGUGCAAAACUAAAUUCUGCCUACAACAAGAGCAUGAAUUGAGACGCAGAUCCUUCCCUAGUUGAUCCUUGAAAUGCUUGCAGCUCUAUGGACACCUUGAUUGCAGCCUUGUGAGAAAUUCUGAACUAGAGGACCUCGUAUGCCUUACCCAUAGGUCUUACAAGAUAAUACGUGUUUUUCAAAAAAGUAAGUUUGGGGAUAAUUUCUUAUGCAGCAAUAGAUAAUGAAUAAUAAAGUAAAUACAGUUUUUUGCUGUUGACUUCAAAAAUGUUUAAAGAUUUUACUGUUAUAUAAUUGUACAUAUUUAUGGGGUACAUGUGAUAUUUUGAUACAUGCAUACAAUGUGUAAUGAUCAAACUGGGGUAAUUUGAAUAUCCAUCACCUCAAAUGUUAUUUAGUGGUAUUGGGAACAUUCCAAAUCUUGUAGGUAUUUUGAAAUAUACAAAAAGUUAAUUUUAUAUAUAAAUAUAUGUCAUAUAUUAUUAAUAUAUUAAUAAUAUAUGCCAUAUAUAUAUAUGUAUGUAUAAAUGCCAUAUAUAUUAAUUACAUGUAUGGCAUGUUUUCUUUUAUACAUUUAUCCACUGAUAAACACUUAGGUUCCUUCCUUACCUUGGCUAUUGUGAAUAGUGCUGCAAUAAACAUGGGAGUGUAGAUAAUCUCUUUGAUGCACUAGUUUUCUUUCUUUUGGAUGUAUACCUAGCAGUGAGAAUGCAGGAUCAUAUGGUAGAUAUAUUUUUAGUUUUUUGAGGAACUUUCAUACUGUUUUUUACAGUGGCUGUGCUUAUUUACAUUCCCACCAACAGUGUGUGAGUGUUCACAUCCUUGCCAGUAUUUAUUAUUUUUUGUCCUUUGAUAAUUUUAACUGGAGUGAAGUGAUAUAAUUGUGGUUUUGAUUUGCAUUUCCCUAAUGAUUAGUGAUGUUGGGUAUUUUUUUUAAUACCUGUUGGCCAUUUGUAUGUAUUCUUUUAUGAAGCAUCUAUUUAGAUCAUUUGUCCAUUUGUAAAUCAGAUUAUUUGUUUUUUUGCUAUUGAGUUGUUUGAGUUUCUUAUAUGUUCUGGUUAUUAAUCCCUUGUUGGAUGGAUAGUUUGCAAAUAUUUUAUCCCAUUCUGCAGGUUGUCUCUUUAUUGAUUGUUUCCUUUGCUGUGCAGAAGCUUUGCUUUAGUACAGAUAAUAAAACAAAUACUUGGAAAGAUUA
ensembl:lncRNA novel transcript, antisense to PEX2